CGGCAUUAAAUAAUGAAUCAUAUACAUUUAAAUGAAGCAUAUUGAAUGCCAAAAUGAUUAAAGACAAAGACACGAGCUAAAGAAAAUUUCAACCUUUUUAUUAUAGCUAUUAACUACCGUCUAGGGCCUUCGCUAGGGGGUGUGGGGUGUGACACGGCACCCUGAUUUAGCAUCUUCGCGAUGGCCCAGCUACCUUCAACAAAACUUAUAUUUUUAACUUAACCCCUAAACUUUUAAAAACAAAGCGGGCAAUAAACGCUAAAUUCUAAGAAAACCGCUGUGAAAUGCAUAUUCUGGAAUGGCGACGUCAUGAAAAGUAAUAAUAAGUAAAAAACUAUGAAUUACUUUUGCUUAAAAGACGAUGGCAAGUGUUUUUUUCGUGACGUCCCCGUACUAGAAUAAGCAAAAUUACUAAAGUUCGCUAUUCUUAAUUUCAAUAACAUAAAAAAGUUGUUUAUAUAACAACCUUCGGAGAUAACCUGCGCAAUGUAAAACGUGUCAAGCACAAAGCCGGUUUUCUACUAAAGCCAGUUUUCCACUGAGUGGAAUUUUGCGCGCGGAGCGGAAUUUCUCUUUGCCUUGUGAUUUCUCGGGUGAAACGAUUUAGAAAAGACAAAGAAAUAUUCCCCUCCGCGCGCAAAAUUCAAUCGAGUAGAAACCCAGCUUAAAGGCGGAUUUCCAUUCAGUGGAAAAAUUCCUUGAUUCUCAUCACUAGACUUUGAAAAUGUCGAAGAGCCGGG